GUAAAGGACAAAAGGAUGCUUACGAGUUGGGUAUAUAACCUUCCUGGCAGAGACCAGAGAAAAGUGUUCACUCAUUAAGGAAGAUGUUCACCCUGAGGACAGGCUCUUAUGUACACCUUGCAGUACAUCCACGUUUCCUUAACCAUUCCCUUCUGCUGAAACAAAAACACAUCAAAAUGCAAUUAGGUGAGAUAGCUGAAAAGCAACUGUGGCAGCAGAAUUCCAAGAUGGCCCCAAGUCUCCUGCCCUCAGUGUACGUGCCUUGUAUAAUCCCCUCUCCCGAGUGUGGGUGGGGCUGUGAAUAUCAUGGGAUAUUACUCCCAUCACUAUGUUAUGUUAUAUGGCAAAAGAGAUGUUGCAGAUGUAGUUAAGGCCCCAUAUCAGUUGAUUUUGACUGAAUCAAAAGGGAAACGAUCCUGGGCUAGGAGUGAGCUAGUCUGGUGAGGCCUUGCAAGAGAGGAGCGGCAGCCCUAUUCUCCUGGCCUCGAAGAAGGAAGCUACCCUGUUGGGAGAGGAGGGAGCCAUGUGGCCAGGACCUGAGGGUGGUCUCUAGAAGCUAAGAACUAAGAGCUAUCCCUGGCUGACAGUUGGCAAGAAACCAGGGGCCUCAGGAGUUCAGCUGCAAGAAAUGAAGUCUGCCAACCACCAGUGAGCUGGGAAGAGGGCUCUACACCUCCGAGGAGAUAGCAGCCCUGGCUUACACCUUGAUUGCAGCCUGGUGAUGUCCUGAGCAAAGGACCCAGCUAACUCAUGCCCGGACUCCUGACACCUGGCCAUUAAGAAAGAAUAAAUUUGUGUUGUUUUAAGUCACUAAGUUUGUGGUCAUUCAUUACACUGUAAUAGAAAACUAAACAGCAACGUCAACAACUGCCAAAAGAGUCUACGGAAUAAAAUCAAGAAAAAGUGAAGAUGAGCAAGUGUUUUCAAAAGAAGAAAAAUAGUCUUCAACUAGAAGUCAGAAUUGCAGUUAGCUUUGUGGAGAGGUACUGGGAAGGGCAGGAGAGAACCUUUUGGAGUGCUGGCGGUUGUCUACACCUUGCUGUGGUCACUUGAUCUGG